rnacentral:rRNA from 1 species
AUUGAACGCUGGCGGCAGGCUUAACACAUGCAAGUCGAACGAGUGGCGGACGGGUGAGUAAUGCUUGGGAAUCUAGCUUAUGGAGGGGGAUAACUACGGGAAACUGUAGCUAAUACCGCGUACCAUAGGAUGAGCCCAAGUGGGAUUAGGUAGUUGGUGAGGUAAAGGCUCACCAAGCCGACGAUCCCUAGCUGGUCUGAGAGGAUGACCCGCCAAACUGGGACUGAGACACGGCCCCGACCCCUAAGGGAGGCCGCAGGGGGGAAAAUUGCGCAAUGGGGGCAACCUGACGCCGCCAUGCCGCGUGAAUGAAGAAGGCCUUCGGGUUGUAAAGUUCUUUCGGUUGCGAGGCGUUAACUACAGGAGUAGCACCGGCUAACUCCGUGCCAGCCGCCGCGGUAAUUC